UACGUAGGUGGCAAGCGUUGUCCGGAUUUACUGGGCGUAAAGAGCGCGCAGGCGGUCGUUUAAGUCGAAUGUGAAAGCCCCCGGCUCAACUGGGGAGGGUCAUUCGAUACUGAUCGACUUGAAGGCAGGAGAGGGAAGUGGAAUUCCGGGUGUAGUGGUGAAAUGCGUAGAUAUCCGGAGGAACACCAGUGGCGAAGGCGACUUCCUGGCCUGUUCUUGACGCUCAUGCACGAAAGCGUGGGGAGCAAACAGG
rnacentral:rRNA from 1 species